rnacentral:rRNA from 1 species
GACGAACGCUGGCGGCGUGCUUAACACAUGCAAGUCGAGCGAUGAAGUUCCUUCGGGAAUGGAUUAGCGGCGGACGGGUGAGUAACACGUGGGUAACCUGCCUCAUAGAGGGGAAUAGCCUUUCGAAAGGAAGGUUAAUACCGCAUAAGAUUGUAGUAUCGCAUGAUGCAGCAAUUAAAGGAGUAAUCCGCUAUGAGAUGGACCCGCGUCGCAUUAGCUAGUUGGUGAGGUAACGGCUCACCAAGGCGACGAUGCGUAGCCGACCUGAGAGGGUGAUCGGCCACAUUGGGACUGAGACACGGCCCAGACUCCUACGGGAGGCAGCAGUGGGGAAUAUUGCACAAUGGGGGAAACCCUGAUGCAGCAACGCCGCGUGAGUGAUGACGGUCUUCGGAUUGUAAAGCUCUGUCUUCAGGGACGAUAAUGACGGUACCUGAGGAGGAAGCCACGGCUAACUACGUGCCAGCCGCCGCGGUAAAAC